rnacentral:rRNA from 1 species
AUUGAACGCUGGCGGCAGGCUUAACACAUGCAAGUCGAGCGGGGUGAUGGUGCUUGCACUAUCACUUAGCGGCGGACGGGUGAGUAGUGCUUAGGAAUCUGCCUAUUAGUGGGGGACAACAUCUCGAAAGGGAUGCUAAUACCGCAUACGUCCUACGGGAGAAAGCAGGGGAUCACUUGUGACCUUGCGCUAAUAGAUGAGCCUAAGCCGGAUUAGCUAGUUGGUGGGGUAAAGGCCUACCAAGGCGACGAUCUGUAGCGGGUCUGAGAGGAUGAUCCGCCACACUGGGACUGAGACACGGCCCAGACUCCUACGGGAGGCAGCAGUGGGGAAUAUUGGACAAUGGGGGGAACCCUGAUCCAGCCAUGCCGCGUGUGUGAAGAAGGCCUUAUGGUUGUAAAGCACUUUAAGCGAGGAGGAGGCUCUUUUGGUUAAUACCCAAGAUGAGUGGACGUUACUCGCAGAAUAAGCACCGACUAACUCUGUGCCAGCCGCCGCGGUAA